AGUAACGAUAAAGCGGGUGAAAAGCCCGCUCGCCGGAAGACCAAGGGUUCCUGUCCAACGUUAAUCGGGGCAGGGUGAGUCGACCCCUAAGGCGAGGCCGAAAGGCGUAGUCGAUGGGAAACAGGUUAAUAUUCCUGUACUUGGUGUUACUGCGAAGGGGGGACGGAGAAGGCUAUGUUAGCCGGGCGACGGUUGUCCCGGUUUAAGCAUGUAGGCUGGUUGUCCAGGCAAAUCCGGAUAAUCAAGGCUGAGGUGUGAUGACGAGGCACUACGGUGCUGAAGUAACAAAUGCCCUGCUUCCAGGAAAAGCCUCUAAGCAUCAGGUAACAUCAAAUCGUACCCCAAACCGACACAGGUGGUCAGGUAGAGAAUACCAAGGCGCUUGAGAGAACUCGGGUGAAGGAACUAGGCAAAAUGGUGCCGUAACUUCGGGAGAAGGCACGCUGGUGUGUAGGUGAAGUCCCUGCGGAUGG
rnacentral:rRNA from 1 species